ensembl:lncRNA
CCCAGUCCCGAAGCGCUGCAGACGGCGGAACUAAGACGCGGGUGAUGCCACAGUCUCGUCUUUGGGAAAGCAUGUUCCUAGUACUUGAGGUGAACUUGGAAGGAGUCGCGUAAGGGAGUGGGGCGAACAACCCCAAAAGGCUCAAGGCCAUGUCCCCUGGCUAAAUUAUCCGUGAACUCUUACAAGCUCACCCUAAUACUCGGUAGCUUGGGCUGCACAAGAAGAAUACACACUUGGGUCCAGUGGAGAUGAAUUGGCUACUUUACGGCGGUCACACAUUCAUGCAAUCUGCAUUAUCCUGCACUCCUCCGUUCUAUCUCAACCC